rnacentral:rRNA from 1 species
UGGAUUAGGCAUGCAAGUCGAGCGAGAAGCCUAUUAUUGAAACUUCGGUCGAUUUAAUAGGUGGACAGCGGCGAAAGGGAGAGUAACGCGUAGAUCACGUACCCUCGGGUUCGGGAUAGCUGUGGGAAACUGCAGGUAAUACCGAAUAAUGUCUCCGGACCAAAGAUUUAUUGCCCGAGGAGCGGUCUGCGUCCUAUUAGCUUGUUGGUGGGGUAAAAGCCUACCAAGGCUAAGAUGGGUAGCGGGUGUGAGAGCAUGGCCCGUCUCACUGGGACUGAGACACUGCCCAGACACCUACGGGUGGCUGCAGUCGAGAAUCUUCCGCAAUGGACGAAAGUCUGACGGAGCGACGCCGCGUGCGGGAUGAAGGCCUUCGGGUUGUAAACCGCUGUCAGAGGGGAGCAAAGGCAACUUGAGCGAUCCUCAGAGGAAGCACAGGCUAAGUUCGUGCCAGCAGCCGCGGUAAUACGAACUGUGCGAACGUUAUUCGGAAUCACUGGGCUUAAAGGGUGCGUAGGCGGCUUUGUAGGUGGGGUGUGAAAGCCCUCGGCUCAACCGAGGAAUUGCGCUCCAAACCAUGAAGCUUGAGGAAGACAGAGGUGAGCGGAACUGAUGGUGGAGCGGUGAAAUGCGUUGAUAUCAUCAGGAACACCGGUGGCGAAAGCGGCUCACUGGGUCUUUUCUGACGCUGAGGCACGAAAGCUAGGGGAGCGAACGGGAUUAGAUACCCCGGUAGUCCUAGCUGUAAACGAUGAGCACUAGUCCGUGGGGGCUCCCACACCCUCUCGGACGUAGCGAAAGUGUUAAGUGCUCCGCCUGGGGAGUAUGGUCGCAAGG